rnacentral:rRNA from 12 species
UUAAAUUGAAGAGUUUGAUCAUGGCUCAGAUUGAACGCUGGCGGCAGGCCUAACACAUGCAAGUCGAACGGUAACAGGAAGCAGCUUGCUGCUUUGCUGACGAGUGGCGGACGGGUGAGUAAUGUCUGGGAAACUGCCUGAUGGAGGG